rnacentral:lncRNA from 1 species
CCUGGAAGCCUGAAAUUCUGGAAAGCUCUUGAACUGUAAUAGAGAAGAAGGUGGAGAGCAAAUUUAUUAUUGAAAUGCAACACACCAGUAACACUGAAAUAUCUUGGAGAAUACAGAUGAAAGAUGAUGGCUGCUGCAGAGCAAAACAACGUGAAGGUGGAAUGUCAUGAAGGCCUCUUCUGCUGGUAAGCUGGACAUGGUGAUGCUGAGCUGAUCACCUAAAACCAAGAACAGCUAAACAUAUGAUUAAGUUAAGGGGGGAUGUAUUUCACUGCUGUUCUAUAUAAGAGGCUGAAAUGUCUUACAUUUAGAUAUUGUACACAAGAAGGAUAAAAGAAG